GUUACUUUGGCAGAGUAGUGCAAUUGAUUUAGAAUCUUUAAAUGUAAAUUUUUACAGGUAAUA
rnacentral:tRNA from 1 species